rnacentral:tRNA from 1 species
UCCCUGGUGGUCCAGUGGCUAAGACUCUGCACUCCCAAUGCAGGGGACCCAGGUUCAAUCCUUGGUCGUGGAA